UCCUGAUUUGUGUGUGUGUAUUGUAUUUGAAUGGAACAAGAGAAAGCAGAGAAAGAGAGAGGGAGAUGGGACAUCCAAUACUGUGAUUAGAAAUAUGGGUGUAUAUCUGUUUGAAGUCUAGUCUGUGAAGCUCACAGCACUCCUUCUCUUUUUGCAGGGCUCAUCACAUAGAUGCUGAGUGCAACUGCUGAGGCUACUUAUUUCCACUUGGUGAAGCUGAACCCUGUUGCUACCCAUUUCACAUCUCAGGGCUCAUCACAUAGAUGCUGAGUGCAACUGCUGAGGCUACUUAUUUCCACUUGGUGAAGCUGAACCCUGUUGCUACCCAUUUCACAUCUCAGGUAAGCUGCAUUGCUGUACGGAGAUGUCCUUACCGUCUCCCGGGUGAGCUGCAUUGCUGUAUGGGACCUCAACUCCACUGGGCCCCCAGGGGCCCCAACUGCAGCCUGGGACAUCAGCUUCCUCUGAGCCUCUACAUGUGUCAUAACACACACAACAUCAUCAGUAUCAUCAGUGUGACAUCAUCAAUCAGGGACAGAGAAGCAGGAAUGCACCAGGAGAAGUUGACAAACAAAAAUACAUUUGAGGAGUCACAGGAACACAAGGAAGAGUCACAAAUGUGGUCAAGCAAUAAAAUAACUAUUGUACAUUGAUACAAUAACAAUGCUGGCUGUUACUGGUUCUAACUGAUCAGAUCUCUGUGAUCUGUUUGUGUUUGUUUGGCUGACAAGACAUUGGUUAGUCAUGAAACCCUGACUGGGAACAAGGGAACAUACAACCUCCUCUCUCCUUCUUCUACCCAUUUCUCACCUAUCCGCCCUGCAUCCUGUAACUGGAUCUUUAGCAUCUCCAUGGGAGUGGUGAUGAUGACCUGCACCAAGAGAUGGAGAGAUGGAGAGACAAAGAGAUGGAGACACAGA